GUCUCCUGAAGCCUAUCAAUGAACCUGAUAACUCAGUACAAACGCUGAAAUAAUACCACAAGACAAGAAGACCCUGUGGAACUUUAAGCCUACUGUUGACCCGGAAUCUAAACAACCACCCUCAACACAAAACUUAAGUUGGGGCAACUAUGGGGUAAAACAAAACCCCCAUGAAAAUAAUUAACCCUUAUGCGCUAGGCUUACACGCCACAUAAAAAUUGUUCGACCCAGUCCACACUGAUUAGCGAACCAAGCUACCCCAGGGAUAACAGCGCUAUCCCCUUAAAGAGUCCAUAUCACCAAGGGGGUUUACGACCUCGAUGUUGGAUCAGGACACCCAGGCGGUGCAGCCGCUGCCAAAGGUUCGUUUGUUCAACGAAUAAAGUCCU
rnacentral:rRNA from 1 species